rnacentral:rRNA from 1 species
UACGUAGGGGGCGAGCGUUGUCCGGAUUUAUUGGGCGUAAAGAGCUCGUAGGCGGUUUGGUAAGUUGGAUGUGAAAUCUCCAGGCUCAACUUGGAGGGGUCAUUCGAUACUGCCAUGACUAGAGUUCGGUAGGGGAGUGUGGAAUUCCUGGUGGAGCGGUGAAAUGCGCAGAUAUCAGGAGGAACACCGGUGGCGAAGGCGGGUCUCUGGGCAGUAACUGACGCUGAGGAGCGAAAGCGUGGGGAGCGAACAGG